GUACUUACCUGCCAGGGUUUGACCGUGAUCAUGAAGGCGGUCUUACUAGGUUCGGGCCCCCACAUUGCACGAAAGUGACGGGCCUUAGUCUACAAACACUUCGGUGUCUUGACUGGACAAUUUUUGACUCUUCCCUUCGGGGACCU
rnacentral:snRNA from 1 species